GACGAACGCUGGCGGCGUGCCUAAUACAUGCAAGUAGAACGCAGUCGCGAACGGGUGAGUAACGCGUAGGUCACUGCCUGGUAGCGGGGGAUAACUAUUGGAAACGAUAGCUAAUACCGCAUACUACCAGAUGGACCUGCGUUGUAUUAGCUAGUUGGUGAGGUAACGGCUCACCAAGGCAACGGAACAUAGCCGGGCUGGGAGGGUGGACGGCCACACGGGGACUGGGGAACGGCCCAGACUCCUGCGGGGAGGAGCAGGAGGGGAUCUUCGGCAAUGGGGGGAAACCUGGCCGAGCAACGCCGCGUGAGUGGAGAAAGUUUUCGGGUCGGAAAGCUCUGUUGUUAAGGGAGCGGUACUUAACCAGAAAGGGACGGCUAACUACGUGCCAGCAGCCGCGGUAAUAC
rnacentral:rRNA from 1 species